UACGUAGGGUGCAAGCGUUGUCCGGAAUUAUUGGGCGUAAAGAGCUCGUAGGCGGUUUGUCGCGUCGAAUGUGAAAACCCGGGGCUCAACUCCGGGCCUGCAUUCGAUACGGGCAGACUAGAGUUCGGUAGGGGAGACUGGAAUUCCUGGUGUAGCGGUGAAAUGCGCAGAUAUCAGGAGGAACACCGGUGGCGAAGGCGGGUCUCUGGGCCGAUACUGACGCUGAGGAGCGAAAGCGUGGGGAGCGAACA
rnacentral:rRNA from 1 species